UCCUUGGAUUUAUUACCCCCAAACUCAAUCCCAGCCUUCCCUUUGUGGUAUGGAACCUUGUAGUACAAUUUUAGAGAGAUCCAUACACUUACACACAAGUUACUGUCUGGAAACUAGAAAAAACGCAAUGAAGUUUAUUUAACUAAAGUUAUUGGCAAAUUUCCAAUGGAAUUUAUUAAUAAUAAAGUUUUUGGCAAAUUUCCAAUAUACAUAAUUUAAAAGCAGUUUAGGUGAGAUAUUCAAAUGAGUUUCAAUUACCAACCUUACACUGCCUUUUAAAUUAUGUUUUGUACUUAAGUAAUUGUCCAUUAACCUGGAAACCCUUUUCCCCCCUUUUUUGCACCUUAUUCCUUAACGGUUUGAGCCAUAACUUCCAAAGACAAUUCUUACCAUCCCUUUGUGGUAUUCCAAUAUCCAAAAUCUAAAUACAUGGUUAGAUUCAGCAUAUCAAAGAACCCCAAGAAUUCAAUUUUUGAUGAAAUCAAAUAAAGUUCAAUUUUGGAACCUUUAAACCUCAAUGUGGACCAAUUUAAUAACCGGGCCCAAAUAUCAAAAAUCUAAAUACAUGGUUAGAUUCAGCAUAUCGAAGAACCCCAUAUAUUCAAUUUUUGUUGAAAUCAAACAAAGUUUAAUUUUGGACCCCGAUUUGGACCAACUUGAAAACUGGGCCCAUAAUAAAAAAACUAAGUACAUGUUUAGAUUCAGCAUAUCAAAGAACCCCAAGAAUUCAAUUUUUGUUAAAAUCAAACUAAGUUUAAUUUUGGACCCUUUGGACCUUAAUGUAGACCAAUUUGAAAACAGGACCAAAAAUUAAGAAUCUAAAUACACGGUUAGAUUCGGCAUAUCAAAGAGCCCCAAUAGUUCAAUUUUUGAUGAAAUCAAACAAAGUUUAAUUUUGGACCCUUUUGGCCCCUAAUUCCUAAACUGUUGGGACCAAAACUCCCAAAAUCAAUCCCAACCUUCCUUUUGUGGUCAUAAACCUUGUGUUUAAAUUUCAUAGAUUUCUAUUUACUUAUACUAAAGUUAUUGUGCAAAAACCAAGAAAAAUGCUUAUUUGGGCCCUUUUUUAGCCCCUAAUUCCUAAACUGUUGGGACCAAAACUCCCAAAAUCAAUCCUAACCUUCCUUUUGUGGUCAUAAACCUUGUGUUAAAAUUUCAUAGAUUUCUAUUUACUUAUACUAGAGUUAUUGUGCGAAAACCAAGAAAAAUGCUUAUUGGGCCCUUUUUUGGCCCCUAAUUCUUAAACUGUUGAGACCAAAACUCCCAAAAUCAAUCCCAACCUUCCUUUUGUGGUCAUAAACCUUGUGUUUAAAUUUCAUAGAUUUCUAUUAACUUAUACUAAAGUUAUAGUGCGAAAACCAAAUGUCUUCGGACGACGACGACGCCAUUGUCAUACCAAUAUACGACCGCAAAAUUUUUGCGGUCGUAUAAAAAAUUAUAAUAAUUCUUACGGUAAACUUCUAUACAAUAAGAUCCAGCCUUUCUGGUUAAAAAUACAUGUAAACUUGUUCUACUUAACUAAAAAAUUCCCACAGUCUAGUAUCAGAACUGGAGUUUUUGAGGUUGUAUGGUCUGUUGUUUGACUGUUAUGGUUGGACUUAACCAACAGCACACCUUACGGACUUAGGGUGAUGAGUAAGGGCCUGAAAACAGUUAUAACAAACACAGUGAAGUAGGUUUUAGAACUUGUAUCUUCAAAAGCGCAUGAGAAAGUCAUAUAAUUAAUAACAAUAUAAUAGUAUAUAAGGCAAAUAAUAGAAACAUAUAAUUCAUAUGAUUUUACAAUAUAAUUGAUCAAUUAAUAUCUUUGGUAUACAAACUUUACGUUAAUGCAUGAGCAUAUGCAUUUUAACUGACGAACACGGAUGCUUAUAAUAUUUCUUAUAAAUAAAAGCUUAUUUAACAUUCAAAUAUAUAAGCAAGAUGCGGACUAAAUCUUAAAUGUAUGAGCAUAAUGCGAGACCUAAUAUUUGAACCUAACGGAGCAUAAAGCAUGUGCUGAACAGCAUAAAGUAUUGAAUGCAUAAUAUCUUAACAAUGGACAUGAAUAAACAUGUUGAAUUCUUUUAUCUUUCGAAUUAUAAUCAUGGUAGAGCAUAUAUUGCGCUUGUAAAACCUUAAACUAUUUAAAAACCUAUUAACCCAAAAAUUAUCAAUUCCGACGAUGAGCAUUGGUUGAGAAAUAUUCGAAAUCGAGACAAACUUAGCAUUACGAAACUAAUCGUGAAUAUUCAAAUAAUAUAAAUAUUAAACAAUAUAAUAUGAAAUGGGGAAACUAGCUUUUAAAAUAUAUAUGCUUGCUUUGUAUCAAAAAUUCAUGACUCGUAAUAAUAUAGGGCUAAACAACAAGAAUAGUUUACGAUAAAUAAUUUCUUAUUAAAUUAGCCUACACAUGUGGAAAUUACGCAUAAAGCGUUUAUUAAAAUAAUUGACAUCUUACCCUUGCAGAACUGACCUUAAUUCUUAUUAAGUAUAAACAAGCGAUAAGUUAAAAUUAUCAUUUCCAACAUGCAGGGUAAAACUAAAUUCUAUAAUGCGUUUAAAAAUACCCUUGAGUACAGAAAGUUUGUGAAGAAUAAACCAACCUUUUUUUUGAACAUAUAUACAUCUAUUUACACUGAUCGAGAAACAACAAUUUGAUCUUAACUUCUUUACUUGCAGAACUCAUAGAUAUUUAACUUCAACUUUACUAAAUGAAAUGGAAACGAAACUUUACGAAGUUUCAGGAUUCAAUUGAAUAAAAUAAUGAAAGAAA